rnacentral:lncRNA from 1 species
AUGGAGAACGUGCCUUCCACAUCACAGGAGUGCCCCACAACGGGUCCCAUCUACAAUCUCAGACCUUUCACUCGAAAGGGCCCAAGGCAGAAGAGGUUUCCAGCACAGCUAAGCAGGUCACAUUCUGUGGCUCAGUCAUUCACCAAAGAAGUGAUUCUCUUGCCAGACCAUCUAACUGCGCAUGUGCCAAGGCGUAACAAAAAAGCUUGGCUUUUUGAAAAUGGACAUAUAAAAUCUGCACUGGAGUUUACCUGUGACUGGGACUCAGACAAAGUAAUGCAGGCAAUAAGGACUGCCUUCCAGCAAGUUGUUGAAGGAUGCAGGUAAGCUUUAGAUCCUUUUUCAUAAAAAGAUUUUUUUUGUUACUUAGAUUAUUAUGCUAUUAAAGGUCAACUUUGGGUAUUUCCAAAAAGGAUCUAUGAGCACUGAUCAGAUUGGACUGGAUUGAUGUCUUUUAGAGUUAACAAAAAUUAAACCUUUUAAUGUACUGUAUUGUAUUGUAGUCUGUUGUCAUUAACAAAACUUUCAUAUACACUGUUUUCUUCCUCCCCUAGGCUAAUGAUUUUGCUGGCAUGCCACACCAAACUAGUUGAGCCAUCACUCACUUCCAAACAGACUUUGAAUGGAGACCUUGUAAGAAAAAACUGUGUCAUCAGAAGUGAAUUUAUGUCAGACCUGACAAGGUUGUUUUUUUUUACGUGAGAACAAUGAAUCAGUAAGUAAUCCUGAGCAUUUCAGCAAAUGUAUGUAUGUUCAUAAAAUGAGCGUGAGAAAGGCAAAGAUUAACCUCCCUUAAACAUUGUCACUUGUAUUAUGUUUUAAUACAUAAUACAUAAACAUAAUAUUAAUAUUUACUAUGCCAUUUUGUUGAGUAGCCAUACAAGCAGGCAGGAUUUCACAGAAACGUUGAAUUCUGACAAAUGCGGUAAAUAUUCCUAUCUAAAAGUAGGUCUAAAUAAACUGGAAACCAUGGUGCAUUUAUAAGUAUAUAAAAGAUAUAUCUCAGAGAGAUGUAAUACUAGAAAUUACAAAUAAAUAACAUGCUAAAUGUGGGUAAAAUUAAGGGAUAAAAAGGUACUAAUUACUAACUAUACAAUACUAUAAUCAUAGCUGUACAAUACUAACUGUACAAUAAACAAAGACAGGACAGAGACAAU